rnacentral:lncRNA from 1 species
AAUGGUAAUUUCUCCAUUUCAAAAUGAGUAAGCAGGCCGGGCAUGGCGGCUCACACCUGUAAUCCCAGCACUUUGGGAGGCUGAGGUGGGCAGAUCACCUGAAGUUAGGAGUUCAAGACCAGCCUGGCCAACAUGGUGAAACCCCAUCUCUACUAAAAAUACAAAAUUAGCUGGACGUGAUGGUGCAUGCCUGUAAUCCCAGCUACUCGGGAGGCUGAGGCAGGAGAAUUGCCUGAGCUCGGGAGGUGGAGGUUGCAGUGAGCCGAGGUUAUACCACUGCACUCCAGCCAGGGCUACAGAGCAAGACUCAAACCUCAAAAAACAAAAACAAAAAGAGUAAGCAGAUGUUUUGGCUUAGACUAAAAGAUUCUUCAGCUUUUCAGACAGCUAUAAGUAUACUAAGAAUUUGAGUUAUGAGUUAAUUCUAAGUGGAAACGC